UAACAACUCUCAGUAACGGAUAUCUCGGCUCUUGCAUCGAUGAAGAAUGCAGAAAAAUGCGAUAAAUGGUGUGAAUUGUAGAAUCCCGUGAACCAUCGAGUCUUUAAACGCAAGUUGCGCCCGAGGCCAUCAGGCCAAGGGCAUGCCUGCCUGGGCAUUACGA
rnacentral:rRNA from 1 species